GUCUCAGGAUAUUACUGAAGAACUAAGCCUAUUUUUCCCAAAAGAGUGUAGGUAAUUAUUUCCAUUAUACUGUGAUGCCUGUAUUUCAUUCUGUUAUCAGUCUGAUGCAGAUACAGUUCCUUGUGGAAACAGGGCAACAGUUACUACUAAAUGAAAUAAAGGGUGGCCAUAGCAGAUAAAUAAUUUAGUUAGUUUUUGCUUAUGUCUGAUAUAAUUCAAAUUUAAUACAGUGCUAGUGUCUUAUUUUGCAAAGUACACCAUAUUAGGAUUUCUCUUUGUCCCUUCUGAAAAAAGCCUUCUUAGCCACUCCUACUGAUCUUUCUAUUCACAGGAAGGUGUCAAUUAGUGUUGCUUGAAGAAUGUGGGGAGGUGAAAUGGCUGAGUAUGUCUCUACUCUGCAAAAUCAGUUAGUAAUGUAGAGCAGCUGCAUGGCACACUUCAGUGAUGCUGUGCUAACUUUUUCUUGUCACUCUGAUACUGUGGGAUGCUCAAGACAUUGUGAUAUAGUAAGUUUGGCUCAAUGUCUCUGUAGGAGCUGGUGAAGUCUCUUGCUGUAAAAGCCUUCUUCCUACAUUAAAAGCACAGUUUGAGAUGGUACAUGUUUUCACACUAAGAGUUGCUUUUGCCCCUGUCUUCAUAGGUUAUCAGCGUCAGCUGCUCUACAAGCAUGAUGAUGGCUCCUACAGUGCCUUUGGGAAGUCUGACACCCAGGGCAACACAUGGCUGACAGCUUUUGUGGCCAGGUCCUUUGGGCAGGCCAGCUCUUACAUUUACAUCA